GGCUGCUGUUUCCUGAAGACACUCAUGGUCAUUACUGGUGUCUCUUACUCAAAACAAGUGGGGCUUGAGAGGAAAGAAGACUGUAAGGCCUGAAGCCUGCAAGUCAUCAACAACCCCAAAUGGACAUUGAAGAUACUGAACUACAGAUGAAACUACUGGCCUUUGGGCCAGAUCUCCCUUCCUCUUCUGCCACUUCUGAAGGGAGCUGGUGAGAAUGGACAAAGUCAGGGGAGGUGAAAUGAGGAGUGGCCUCUGGAAUUGGUGGGAGCAGCCUGAAAUAAAACCUCUCGGUUUAUUUUCACAGGAUCCUCAUCUAUUGCAUCUGGGCGAAACCUCUGCAGAAUAUUGGAUCAAAGAAGAUAUCUGAGGUACCUCAUCAGUGCUGUAAUCGCACUGCUUGGGGUUAUUGUGCUCUCGGCAAACUUAACAUUUAAUAACGUGUGGUUGGUGGAUUGCCUGUAUUCAGAAUCAUCAGACUUAUGCCUCUACAUGGGCACCUCAAACAAUGGCCUGAUGUCUCUAAUGCUGAUCUUUACCUCACUGGAAUUGGGCAUAACCAUCUCUACCGUGAUCACAUGCCAAGUAGCAUAUUGGGAAUAUUUGGCAGACUAUUUCAUGUCGUCCUUCUAAUCUUGGGAAUCAGGAAUGCCUCCUGAGGAAAGAAAAUCUUAAAGCAAGUAACUUCAACAUCAGACCUGCAUUAGGUCACAGCACCAACUGAGAACCAGGAGAAAUGAGCCCAUGAAAUGGAAUCCUACCCUCAGGGCAUCGGUCAUGAGAACCUUGGACACUUGACUCAACCUUUCUGUUCCAUGAAUCCAUUGGUGUGUCUUGAUUUGGAAGGUGCUUCUUUAGACAUUAUUGGUUUGGUAACUUCAAGGAUCACAGCGCCACACUGUUGCCAGAUAUUGGUUCUCUCUCUUCUUACCCACCUACUCCAUUGCUUUAUAAGGUUUAGAGGGGUCAGGGAGAACAAUCUUUAUCUCAUGUAUUCACUC